AAUUAGAAUCAAAACCAAGACAAAAUAAAUGCAAAGAAGAAUACGCUAGUUCCUCUUUAGCAGAUAUAAGUCGGCAGAAGCGGAUAGAAGGAUGACAAAUUACCAAUCCUGUCAAACUCUAUCUUUUCAAAUCCUCACCCCUUCAUCAUGGAACCCACACGAAGAAGAUCGUAUGAUGCAAGUUUUAAGUUGAAGGCCAUCGAUCUCGUUAUACAAGAAGGAAACCGCGCUGCUGCUCGGAAGCUUAGCGUCAAUGAGUCUAUGGUGAGACGCUGGAGGAGGCAGCGGGAAGAGCAAAACUUUUUAAAUAGAGCGGAUGCGGCUUAUAUGCAGGUGCGCUUUAUAGUCCAGAAUUUACGGUAUAU